rnacentral:rRNA from 1 species
UACGGAGGGUGCAAACGUUGCUCGGAAUCAUUGGGCGUAAAGCGCAUGUAGGCGGUCGGCUAUGUCGGAUGUGAAAGCCUCGGGCUUAACCCGAGAAGGGCAUCCGAAACUGGCCGGCUUGAGUACGGAAGAGGGUCUCGGAAUUCCCGGUGUAGAGGUGAAAUUCGUAGAUAUCGGGAGGAACACCAGUGGCGAAGGCGGAGACCUGGGCCGAUACUGACGCUGAGAUGCGAAAGCGUGGGGAGCAAACAGG